rnacentral:rRNA from 1 species
GACGAACGCUGGCGGUGUGCUUAACACAUGCAAGUCGAACGGAAAGGCCCUGCUUUUGUGGGGUGCUCGAGUGGCGAACGGGUGAGUAACACGUGAGUAACCUGCCCUUGACUUUGGGAUAACUUCAGGAAACUGGGGCUAAUACCGGAUAGGAGCUCCUGCUGCAUGGUGGGGGUUGGAAAGUUUCGGCGGUUGGGGAUGGACUCGCGGCUUAUCAGCUUGUUGGUGGGGUAGUGGCUUACCAAGGCUUUGACGGGUAGCCGGCCUGAGAGGGUGACCGGCCAAAUUGGGAAUGGAAUCCGGCCCAGGCUCCUGCGGGGGGCAGCAGUGGGGAAUAUGGCACAAGGGGGGGAAGCCUGAUGCAGCAACGCCGCGGGCGGGAUGACGGCCUUCGGGUUGUAAACCGCUUUCGCCUGUGACGAAGCGUGAGUGACGGUAAUGGGUAAAGAAGCACCGGCUAACUACGU